rnacentral:tRNA from 1 species
GGAGGCGAGAACCGGCGGUGGCGCCGGGCUCCGCUGCUAACGGGUGCGCUCCUCUGGAGUGGUGUUCGACUCACCCCGCCUCCGCCA